rnacentral:rRNA from 1 species
UACGUAGGGCGCAAGCGUUAUCCGGAAUUAUUGGGCGUAAAGAGCUCGUAGGCGGUUUGUCGCGUCUGCCGUGAAAGUCCGGGGCUCAACUCCGGAUCUGCGGUGGGUACGGGCAGACUAGAGUGAUGUAGGGGGAGACUGGAAUUCCAGGUGUAGCGGUGAAAUGCGUAGAUAUCUGGAGGAACACCGGUGGCGAAGGCGACAUCCUGGACCGGUAUUGACGCUGAGGCGCGAAAGCCAGGGGAGCAAAGCGGGG